rnacentral:rRNA from 1 species
UACAGAGGUCUCAAGCGUUGUUCGGAUUCAUUGGGCGUAAAGGGUGCGUAGGUGGCGUGGUAAGUCGGGUGUGAAAUUUCGGAGCUUAACUCCGAAACUGCAUUCGAUACUGCCGUGCUUGAGGACUGGAGAGGAGACUGGAAUUUACGGUGUAGCAGUGAAAUGCGUAGAUAUCGUAAGGAAGACCAGUGGCGAAGGCGAAUCUCUGGACAGUUACUGACACUGAGGCACGAAGGCCAGGGGAGCAAACGGGG